rnacentral:rRNA from 1 species
GACGAACGCUGGCGGCGUGCUUAACACAUGCAAGUCGAACGGAAAGGCCUCUUUCGGGGGGUACUCGAGGGGCGAACGGGUGAGUAACACGUGAGUAACCUGCCCUUGACUUUGGGAUAACUUCUGAAAACUGGGGAUAUUACCGGAUAGGAGAUCCUGCUGCAUGGUGGGGGCUGGAGAGUUUCGGCGGUUGGGGAUGGACUCGCGGCUUAUCAGCUUGUUGGGGGGGUAGUGGCUUACCAAGGCCUUGGCGGGUAGCCGGCCUGAGAGGGUGAGCGGCCGCAUUGAGACUGAGAUACGGCCCAGGCUCCGACGGGUGGCAGAAGGGGGGAAGAUUGCUCCAGGGGUAGAGGCCUGAUGCAGCAACGCCGUGGGCGGGAGGGCGGCCUUGGGGUUAUAGACCGGUAUCGCUCUUGACCAAGGUUUGUGUGACGGUAGUGGGUGAAGAAGCACCGGCUAACUACGUG